rnacentral:rRNA from 1 species
GAUGAACGCUAGCUACAGGCUUAACACAUGCAAGUCGAGGGACCGGCGCACGGGUGAGUAACACGUAUCCCACCUGCCCUUUACUCGGGGAUAGCCUUUCGAAAGAAAGAUUAAUACCCGAUAUAAAGGAUGGGGAUGCGUUCAAUUAGGUUGUUGGUAAGGUAACGGCCCACCAAGCCUUCGAUGGAGAGGGGUUCUGAGAGGAAGCUCCCCCACAUUGGAACUGAGACACGGUCCAAACUCCUACGGGAGGCAGCAGUGAGGAGUAUUAGUGAAUGGGCGGUAGCCUGAACCAGCCAAGUAGCGUGAAGGAUGAAGGCUUAUGGGUCGUAAACUUCUGUUAUAUAAGAAGAUGUAUUAGAUGAAUAAGGAUCGGCUAACUCCGUGCCAGCAGCCGCGGUAAUAC